rnacentral:tRNA from 1 species
CGGGAAGCAGCUCAGCUUGGUAGAGCACUUGGUUUGGGACCAAGGGGUCGCAGGUUCGAAUCCUGUCUUCCCGA